CUAUGGAUAAAUGCAAGCUGACAAUCCACUCCUAUGCAGGGCUGAAUUUCUGCUUCGCCACCCAUAAGCUAAAGGGUAAAACUCCCUCCCCUCGCAAGCGUGCCCUUCUCCCCUCGCGAGUGCGCAGUCUUCCUCCUGGACACUGGUGGACCGCUGGCCGUUUAAUAAAAUCAACAGAUACCAGGUGCUUUGCUACAAAAAUAAGAAUGCUGCUGAGCCUCGCCACAAAUCCGGGCCUUCUCUUAUGACGAGAAUCUGCAGCUUCUAUGUCUGCACCCAGAACCAUUGCAUGGCCUGGGUGCAAGCACACUUGGUGGGUUUCUGCACAAAAACAUGAGAUUUUGAAUUUCAGCAUCAAAAACCCCUGCACGUGCCUGCACCCAAUUAAACACAGAGUUCCAUGUGCAAAGUAGCAUCUGAUUUGUGUUGUAGGAGCAGAUUCUCAGCAUGCAUUAAUCCACAGGACAAGAUCGACCCAAUUGCCCUUGGGUGGAAUCUCCCAAACUUUGAGGCUGUCCAGAAGGGCCAAAAAGCAGUGGCUAAAUGCUCAGUCUGAAGGCCAGUUAAGCUGCAGGGUCUGCUUCCUCUGUAGGUACGACCCUGCAAGACUCACAUCCCUGGUUAUCUCCAUGUCAAUGGGGUGAUACAUGACUUCCAGGUGUCCUCAGUCAUAUGACUUGUGCUAUGGUAAUCUUCAGUCACUCUUUGCUGCUACACUACAAGUUGGAGUGAUAUCACCCCUCCUCCCACAGCAACCCAUCGGCAGUUCAUCAACAGAACAAUAGGAAGCUAAUGAAGUGUAAAGAAGUUCAGUGGAUGAGAAGCACGUUAUAUGAAUGUACUCUUCUAAUAAAUUUAAAGCCAGACAAUGGUGGCAAGCCAAGUUUCCAUACUCCGGCACCAGCAGUACAGAUGUUUCACAAGAGUUAAUUAAAAUAAUAAAAUGUGCGUGUUCGCUCUG